rnacentral:rRNA from 1 species
AGACAGCAGCAGCCACGGUAAUACGUAGGGGGCAAGCGUUGUCCGGAAUUAUUGGGCGUAAAGCGCGCGCAGGCGGUCAUUUAAGUCUGGUGUUUAAUCCCGGGGCUCAACCCCGGAUCGCACUGGAAACUGGGUGACUUGAGUGCAGAAGAGGAGAGUGGAAUUCCACGUGUAGCGGUGAAAUGCGUAGAUAUGUGGAGGAACACCAGUGGCGAAGGCGACUCUCUGGGCUGUAACUGACGCUGAGGCGCGAAAGCGUGGGGAGCAAACAGGAUUAGAUACCCCCGUAGUCCCUGUCUCUUAUACA